UUAACUCAAAUUUGUAUGGAGUUUAUGUGUUUGCCUAUGUUUGACGCUAGGGAGCGCUGUUCCAACUGCUUACAAAUUUGAAUUA
rnacentral:pre_miRNA from 1 species